rnacentral:rRNA from 1 species
GACGAACGCUGGCGGCGUGCCUAAUACAUGCAAGUCGAGCGAAGUUUUUCUGGUGCUUGCACUAGAAAAACUUAGCGGCGAACGGGUGAGUAACACGUAAAGAACCUGCCUCAUAGACUGGGACAACUAUUGGAAACGAUAGCUAAUACCGGAUAACAGUAUUUCUCGCAUGAGAGAUAUUAAAAGUUUGUUAUGCUAACACUAUGAGAUGGCUUUGCGGUGCAUUAGCUAGUUGGUGGGGUAAAGGCCCACCAAGGCGACGAUGCAUAGCCGACCUGAGAGGGUGAUCGGCCACACUGGGACUGAGACACGGCCCAGACUCCUACGGGAGGCAGCAGUAGGGAAUCUUCCGCAAUGGGCGAAAGCCUGACGGAGCAACGCCGCGUGAGUGAAGAAGGAUUUCGGUUCGUAAAGCUCUGUUGUUAGGGAAGAAUGGAUAUGUAGUAACUAUACAUGUAAGAGACGGUACCUAACCAGAAAGCCACGGCUAACUACGUG